CGCUGGCGGCGCGCCUAACACAUGCAAGUCGAACGAGCGAGAGAGAGCUUGCUUCUCGAGCGAGUGGCGAACGGGUGAGUAACGCGUGAGGAACCUGCCUCAAAGAGGGGGACAACAGUUGGAAACGACUGCUAAUACCGCAUAAGCCCACGGGUCGGCAUCGACCAGAGGGAAAAGGAGCAAUCCGCUUUGAGAUGGCCUCGCGUCCGAUUAGCUAGUUGGUGAGGUAACGGCCCACCAAGGCGACGAUCGGUAGCCGGACUGAGAGGUUGAACGGCCACAUUGGGACUGAGACACGGCCCAGACUCCUACGGGAGGCAGCAGUGGGGAAUAUUGCACAAUGGGGGAAACCCUGAUGCAGCGACGCCGCGUGGAGGAAGAAGGUCUUCGGAUUGUAAACUCCUGUUGUUGAGGAAGAUAAUGACGGUACUCAACAAGGAAGUGACGGCUAACUACGUG
rnacentral:rRNA from 1 species